rnacentral:rRNA from 1 species
UACAGAGGUCUCAAGCGUUGUUCGGAUUCAUUGGGCGUAAAGGGUGCGUAGGCGGCGCGGUAAGUCGGGUGUGAAAUCUCGGGGCUUAACUCCGAAACUGCAUUCGAUACUGCCGUGCUUGAGGACUGGAGAGGAGACUGGAAUUUACGGUGUAGCAGUGAAAUUCGUAGAUAUUCGCAAGAACACCAGUGGCGAAGGCGGCUCACUGGCCCGAUACUGACGCUGAGGCACGAAAGCGUGGGGAGCAAACAGG